GGAUGAGGCGGCUGCCUGUAUGGGAUCAGUGGGCUGUCUGUAUGGGAUCAGCAGGCUGUUCCUAUGGGAUCAGUGGGCUGUCUGUAUGGGAUCAGCAGGCUGUCACUAUGGGAUCAGUAGGCUGUCCGUAUGGGAUCAGAAGGCUGUCUGUAUGGGAUCAGUAGGAUGUCACUAUGGGAUCAGCAGGCUGUCACUAUGGGAUCACCGCAACGUCACCAUGGGAUCAGAAGGCUGUCUGUAUGGGAUCAGUAGGAUGUCACUAUGGGAUCAGAAGGCUGUCACUAUGGGAUCACCGCAACGUCACCAUGGGAUCAGCAGGCUGUCUGUAUGGGAUCACCAGGAUGUCCCUAUGGGAUCACCAAGCUGUCCCUAUGAGAUCAGCAGGAUGUCACUAUGGGAUCAGCAGGCUGUCUGUAUGGGAUCAGCAGACUGUCCCUAUGGGAUCUGUAGGCUGUCCGUAUGGGAUCAGAAGGCUGACCUAAUGGGAUCAGUGGGCUGUCUGUAUGGGAUCAGCAGGCUGUCCCUAUGGGAUCAGUAGGCUGUCCGUAUGGGAUCAGAAGGCUGUCCGUGUGGGAUCAGUGGGCUGUCUGUAUGGGAUCAGCAGGCUGUCCCUAUGGGAUCAGUAGGAUCUCACUAUGGGACCACCAGGCUUUCCGUGUGGGAUCAGUGGG
rnacentral:lncRNA from 1 species